ACUACAAGGAUUCCCCUAGUAACUGCGAGUGAAGCGGGAAAAGCUCAAAUUUAAAAUCUGGCAGUCUUUGGCUGUCCGAGUUGUAGUCUGGAGAAGUGCUUUCCGUGCUGGACCGUGUACAAGUCUCCUGGAAUGGAGUGUCAUAGAGGGUGAGAAUCCCGUCUUUGACACGGACUACCAGUGCUCUGUGAUGUGCUCUCAAAGAGUCGAGUUGUUUGGGAAUGCAGCUCAAAAUGGGUGGUGAAUUCCAUCUAAAGCUAAAUAUUGGCGAGAGACCGAUAGCGAACAAGUACCGUGAGGGAAAGAUGAAAAGCACUUUGGAAAGAGAGUUAAACAGUACGUGAAAUUGUUGAAAGGGAAACGCUUGAAGUCAGUCGCGUUUGCCAGAACUCAGCCUAGCUUCGGCUUGGUGUACUUUCUGGUGAACGGGCCAGCAUCAAUUUUGAUCGUCGGAUAAUGGCAAGGGGAAUGUGGCACCUUCGGGUGUGUUAUAGCCCCUUGUCGCAUACGGCGGUUGGGAUUGAGGAAUUCGGCAUCCCCUCGUGGUUGAUGCUUAGGAUGCUGGCGUAAUGGCUUUAAACGACCCGUCUGG
rnacentral:rRNA from 1 species